rnacentral:lncRNA from 1 species
ACAUUUUAUUGGUUUAUUUUGAACUUGUAGUUGGAGGAUAACAUGCAUACAGGGGAGUGCAUAUGCUUAGCUGCCUUUUAACCUGCAGAUGUCUUCUGCUUGUUGAACAGUUUCAUGGAGAGUUGGUUUGUCCUUCUUUUUGUACCUUAAUGGAUCAUAAUGUUUAUUUCUGGGCCGUCUUAAAUGAAGCUGCCGCUAAAGGAAGCAAGAGGGCCAAUGUUAAUACUAAAAGAACAUGAAAAAGGAAACCUAGGACCUGCUGAAAGUACGACAUGUUAGGUUUUUGUGUUGUACUUGAUAUUGGGAGGGCUUAAUUUUUUUUUUUUUUCUUUUCCUUUUUAUGGCCAUACCUAUGGCGUAUGGAAGUUCCUGGGCUAGGGGUUGAACAGAACUGCAGCUGUCGGCCUACUCCACAGCCACAGCCAUGUCAGAUCCGAGCCACAUAUGCCACGUAUGGUGCAGCUUGUGGCAACCCCAGAUCCUAAACCCACUGGGCGAGGCCAGGGAUCAAACCUGAGUCCUCAGGGACAUUGUGUCAGGUUCUCAACCCUCUGAGCCACAAUCGGAACUCCAGGUCUUAACUUUUGAUUGCAAGGUAGGAAUCCUAUGCACUUGAAACUUUCCUUGAGAGGUGUCUUUGGAUUGAGCUUAACUCAUGCAAGGUAGGAGUAAUUUGCUGCUGCUGCCACCUCUGGAAACUGUUUUAAAGGGUUAUCUCAUUUCACUGAAGCUCUGAGAGUCUGUCCGUGGAUGUCUGUCUCCCCUGCCCCCACCUCCAUUGGAUCUAGAUGGGAAAUGGGUGUAAACCUGAAAAUGUACACAACCUUAUUAAAGCAGCUUUGCUAAAUUAAUUGCAGCAGAGUCUUUGGGGUGUCCUUUUGUGGUGCUGCAGAUUGUUUCAAGAACCUUGGAUAUUUUGCCAAGUGUAUCACCUCAAUAAUCUAAAACGUUAACAAGUGAAACACUGUUCUGUGUCUUCACUGGCUUUGAGGUAUGUCAUGAUAGUUUAGCAAUCCACUUAGCCAUCAAACUCCUGCUUUGAGUUGUCCACACAAUCCUUUUAGUCUGUUUUUAGAUUUAUUAAGUGCUUCUCAUGUAUUUGAUGAAAAUGCUUUCGUUUAAGAAAUUGUUUCCACAUGACCCCAGAGGCCUCCCGUUGUAGUUUAACAGUAGUUGAGAUGUAGUAUUGUUUGUCUGGAACUGCAAAGUAGAGUCAAUGCUGGCAUAUCGGGGCACUCUAGGCUUAGAGCUGGGGGGCCCUCGGCGUGGUAAUUUAAUCUGUUCGUUGUAUGGUUUCGAUGCCCAGAGAGUUUCAACAACUUAUCCAGGCUGAUGACUCCACUGGUCAGGCAGCAUAGAUAGAUUCUGACUCCUAGGUCCUUUUCUCUUGCCUACGUUAGACUGACCCUGGAAUACCUGAAGAUGUUGAGAUCUUUGCCAGAGAAUUGGCUUUGCAUGAGAGCUGCAAAGGAAGAGGUACUAUGUUUGGUUUAAUCUUUCAAAGAGAAGUUUAUGGCCUUUUUAAAAUUUUUUUUCUUCUUAGGGUUGCAAAGAAGGCAGUGUUAAAGAAAGAAGAGAGCCAGAAAUGCCAUCUUGCUUUUAAAAAUGAGGAGAAAGAUGGGCUAUCUUGGCACUACCUUUGUCAGUUACACAUUCUGCAGCAGGUGCAUAUCAAAGAUGGAGCGGCAGCCCGGAGCCUUGGCAGCCUCUGGACCCCUCAUUUUCUUUUAUCUGUCAUGUCUAUCAGGACUCAUGGUUUUUGUUUCCUAACUAUUUCUCAACUCUCUUUGUGCUGGACUAUUUCUACCCAUUGAAUGUGUGUAUCAACCUUUUCUGCUGAUUAAGGAAGUUCUGCAAGGAAACAGAUUCUUUUUAUAUUCGUUUCCAGGAUCCCCUAUUAUAUUAAAGUUAGUUGGUUCUUUAAAAUACAGAAUGAUAGACAGAUACCUUUAAUUUUAACUUGCUUGCCCCUUCUUAGGUCUAUUCCCUUUUCUUUCAUACUCUGCUUAGAGACUCCGUGUGUUAGGUAGGCUGAGUGAACAUGCUUUUGGAAGAAAACUGGUUUUCACAGUCACUUUCUGUCUCAUGUCAGUGAUGGAGCCACUUAUGAAGCUCCCUCUAGAGGUGGAUUUGCUGUGCUGUGUAGCACACAGUAGUCUUGGCUUUAGCGUAGUGAACACUCCUGGUACUGACUUUCUCAGGUGGUCUCCAAAGGUUCAAGACAUGUGAUGAAAUGAGUCCCCAGUUAGGGUCGUGUCUUGGGUGGGCUGUGUGGGGAGCAGGGACUUCACUCAUGUGAACCAGCCACAGCCUUCUGCUCCUGGAUGGCUUUGUUUUAAGCACCUACUCCUCUCAAAGUAACACCUGUUUAUUUCUUUGUGAAAAUAGCCCAGAAAAGAAAAAAGGCCACCUGUGAAUGCCGUCGAUUUGUAAACUUGGGGACUGAUGAAAAUCUUGCUAUGGAGCCCUUCACUUAUUAAUGUCAGUGUGCUCAGUGUUCGGUCCAUGCACCAUCAGUCCUUUGCCUAUCGAUUUCAACUUUGUAGGAAGCAGAACAGUGGUUUUCGGCUCCGGCUGCUGCUCUUUGGGAAUCAUGUUGGAUUCUGUAGACCUGGCAUUGAGCCCGUACAUCUGUAGAGUUAAAAGCUCCCUAGGUGAUUCUGAUGUACAGCCAUGGUGAAAGCCCAUUGAAACAGACUUGAGCAGGCACAUCAAAGAGUUCAGGGAAAGUGCACGGCCACUUGGAGUCAGGCCGCAGGAACAGGUAACGAGGCUGUUUUCACUGAGAGCCAGAGGGCCGUUUCGAUUUUGGAAGCCCAAAGGAACUGGCCACGCUGGGGGCCAGGAGAAAUUAAGCUCUCAGGGAUUUGGCUCUGUAUGGGCUCCUCCUCCCCAUUCCCCUCUGACUUGACAGACUUUGACCUUCUCCUGAAAUAGCUGUGAAUCAGAGUCUAUGCCACUGAAGAAGAAGAAUAUAUGGUGCUAUUAGAAAAGCCCUUUCUCCACUCUGUUGCUGGAAAGGAAGAACCAGGGCAGGGUGUUUUCUCAAAUUUUAAUCCCUACUGCCCCCCUUCAGAUAAUAAAAAUGAUCAAAUAAACUGAAAUCCCCUCUUACCCCAUCCUUGGAAAUGUACUUCGUUCAUUAGCAUAUCAAAGGCUGGGAAAAUCCUGUGGUUCUCUCUCACACACACACACACACACACACACAUCUCGAAACUUUGAGUUGAGCAAACUUACUUGCAUAGGAAGAGGCUUUAUGCUUCUGUACCUACAACUGAGCAUUUCUUUCCUUAACAGCAGUUUGGGAAAGACUGGCCAAGUCACUUUUUGAUUCAGUAAUUUUCUGAGGGUUAAUUUCUGACAGCUGAACCUCUUUUUAAACUCCUCUUUGAAGUUGGACUGAAUUAACAAAUGGAAGGCUUGGCAAAGCAGUUUACUAAUUCAUAACUAUAUCCCUCUGCUUUCUUUGUGUUGCUAAGUACUAUAAUCUUUGACCUGAAAGGAAGAAUACUACUAACAAGUAAAUAUUUAAAAGGCCCCAUGAAGUAUAAUGUUAUAAUAUGCAUGAGUUUGUGCCUGGGGAGCCUGUCUGCUGGAUGAAAGCAAUGACUCACUUUUCAUCUCCUAAAUAGGCUGUUGUUUUACAGUAGGUUGAAAGGAAGUAUUUUAAGUGCCAAGAGUUAGAUUUCUUUUUCUUUUUAGAUUUAGUUGGCCAUUGGCUUCACCGAUUUGAAGGUGGCGUGUGAGUCAAAACUGCUGAGUGUGCCGGUCCUCUCUGUACGAGUUACGGUGAAUGAAUGAACUCUGUGCUCCUAAAGGCCACUUGGAACAGCGUGUGGAAACGGAAACAUGACUCACUGACAGGCUUGGAGAGCAUCAAGGGGGAUUCACUAACUUCAGAGCCAGACCCGAGGCGUGGUGAAGCAGGGAGAACCCAGAGGGGAUAGGAGACCAGGGUUCUGGUCCCAGCAGUGCCCAGUUGACUGCUUCGAAUGACAGUGGCCAGAUCACCAGACCUCUCUACUUUCUUUCUGUCCAUAAUGGGAAGUGUAAAUUAUUUGUUGCUAGGAUCAUUUCCAGCUUCCAGACUUAAUGAGUCUGAAUUCUACGGAUUUUCUGGUUUGUGUGGAAGUGGGUGUGGAUGUUUUUAAUGGUUUUCAGAUGGGACUCAUCAAGGCUCCAUGAAACAAACCUUUAUUUUUAAAAUGUGAAGUGAAUUGCUGUGACAGCGUAUGACUAGGGAGUUCAUGACAGAAAAUGAGGAAGCGAAUAAACUUUGAUUUACAAGGCUGCGGGCAGCUGGUUUCCUGAGGCUGUGGCAUUUGGCACAUAGAAUGAUGCAUAUGUGAUACUCUCAGAUAAAGGUUCAUUAUUAUCUACAGACAAAAGCUUUGAUCUGUCAGGAUUUCUUUUAAAAAGCUGUAAAAUAGCCCCUAGCUACCCUGUUCAAUGUGCCUCACCAUGUUUUAAAAAUAUAUUUAGAACACCCUACUGAAAUAUAUCCACAGACAUUUUCAUUAAGAAAUAGCAUCCUGCAUACCUGACACCCUCCAAGUUCUUGCUACAUGUUUUUUUUGCAUAGUCACUAUUGUAUAAAGCAAUCUUGGAGUUCCUGUUGUGGCUCAGAGGUAAUGAAUCCAGCCAGUAUCCCUGAGGAUGUGGGUUCGAUCCCUGGCCUUGCUCAGUGGGUUGGGGAUCCAGUGAGCUGUGGGUGUAGGUCACAGACGAGGCUUAGAUCUAAGUUGCUGUGGAUGUGGUCAGCAUUGCAGCUCUGAUUCGACUCCUAGCCUCCAUAUACCACAGGUACAGCCCUAAGAAGCAAAAAGCAAAAAAAGAAAAAGAAAAGAAAAAUAAUCUUGUGUUCUAUUAUUUUCAUUUAAUGAUUUUCUUUCAUGUGGGCUAGAUUGUCAGGUACAUUGAAAUGUCAAUGCUAUGUCUGUUAGAAACUACCUAUGUAUUCUUUAAAAGUGAUAAUCCGGCUUAUUUAAUGUUUUUUGGGGGGGCUAGCACAGUAUUUUAAGGGUCAUGAGUAAUUCUCUUUGCCUUUAUUAUGGCCAUGAGGAUACAUUAAUUUUCAUGAAAUAAUUGCACAAAAAAGACCCCCAAAUAUUUUCAAAUGGCAGCUUUCAAGUUAAAUCAUAUUUGAAGUUUUCUGUAAUUUUAUCCCCCUUUUUUUCCUGCUGCCUAAACCAUGGUGUUUGUGUUUUUGAUAAACUCGUAUCAGUAGCCUCUUACCUAUUUUUUUCUGAUUAUCUUUUGCAAAUUCUCCACAAAAAGAUAUUCCUGACAAUGAUUAUUUCCUUAUACAUAUGGGGGGCCUCCUACAGUGCUUAGUGCUUGACUCCUAACCCCACUAGGUGGCGGUAUUAUUGUUUUCAGUGGGGAACCAGGUUCAGAGAGGCUUGCAAUUGAUGACAUUGUCAUUAAGUAUGAGCUGAAAUCAAGAUUGGAAUCCAGCUCCAAAUAUCUGUUCCAGCUUAUCUUGGGGGUGGGGGAGAAAAAUGAUCAAACCUUGCUUCUUACAUGAUCUAUUCAGUAAAUUUUUACUGAACACCCCCAGAGUUAGAAUUUUCUUCUCAAGAAAUUGUGGACAGGAGAAGGGGUAGUGUGGGGGAGACGUCAGUUCCUGGAGGCAAACUAAGAAAUCGCAUAUGCCCAGCUUAUGGGUGCCCUGUGAGUUCUUGGAGGCAUGUGUGUGCACAUGUGCGUGUACAUGUGUGUGUGUGUAAAUAAACAGCCACUUUGGAAGGUCAAAAUGAUGUGCCAGAGGAAGGGGCGCUAAGCUGAGCCUAGAAGGGGGCGGGUUGGACUCUGUCGAGGGGAUCUGAAUUGAAGUCCGAGAAGCUUGGGCUAGAUUAGCAAUGAUGGCUUUUGGGCAGCAUUUGACAAGCUCAGGGCAGAUGUGGCAGGGUGCAGAGGCAACGUGAAGCACACCUGGAUCGAGCCGAGCUGGAAGCUGCUGGAAUUUUCCUUAGGGGUGGAAGUGAGAAAGGUAGAGGGACAACUUGACUUUCAUUUAAGGGAGGUUAUCCUUAAGUUUGGGUAUGAAGCUUGGAUCCAGUGCUGCUGUGGCUGUGGUGCAGGCCGGCAGCUGCAGCUCCAAAUUGACCCUUAGCCUGGGAACAUCCAUAAGUGCGACCCUAAAAAGACCAAAAAAAAAAAAAAAAGUUAGAAUUGGAAAAAUGGCAGGCUUCUUCAUUUUAUCUUUCCUUUAAAUAUUAUCAGUUGAAACACAGAAGUAAUACUUAACUUAGCUCUAUCUGUAAACAAAAUGUAAACUUUCUCAAAGAUGGGUGGUUCUUAAUCAGGGGUAGGGGCAUACCUUACACAGACCAAAUGUUUGAUGGCCACACACUGCUCGGAGAGACGCAGGAUGGUUCAGGCCCAGCUGAAGCUGUGUUAGUGCCCUGAUUGUCAACCAUGGGUGAACAUCAGAGUCAUCUUUUGUAAAACAUUCUUAUUAUUCCCCUGGGAAUAUUAUCAGCAAAGUAAACUUUAGAAAUGUUGAAACACAUUUUGAGAGUGUGUGAGUGUGUUGGGGGGUGGUGAUGAACAUUUGGAGGUUUAUUUUUUAGCUUUUUAAAAUAACUGUCAUUACUUAUGAGGUAAUAGCUACACCUGUGCUAUUUUUGUAUUAAGUCCUUUAAACCUGUCAGGACUUCACACUUUUCUUCAAACUGUUCAGUGCAUCACAUCAUUUGGGAAGAGAAAUGGGCUUAGCAACUAUGGAAAUGACACAAGUACCAUGUUCCUUAAGAAUUUUUGUCUUUGCAGGUGAGGCUUGUGUGCUUGGUUCUUUUCUCUGAUGGGAGUCUGACCCUCCAUUUCGGUGCCUCCUCCCCUCCCUAUAUAUGCAGCUGCAAUCUUAACCUCCUCCUUCUGCCCUUACCAGCUGGUUCCCCCUGAACUGCUGCUGCUGCUGCUGUAAAUCGCCUACCAAUUACGGAGUACUAAUGAUGUCAGCAUCUCCCCACUUAGUUUUCAGGGUCCCUGGUGUCUUUGUCUUGCUGUGGGUUGAGCACAGGAAUGAGAACUGUGGGCAUUGCUCACUUGGGGGCUUUUUGGAGGCAGCCCUGUCCUGGUUGUCCCAGUGUUUCUGGGAGAAGCCUGGGCGGCUGGCUGGGAGGAGGGAGCAGAAGGCGGAAUCUCUCUAACUAAUGCCUUCACUUGUGCCAGCCAGUCUCCGUCAGCCCACUCCAGCCCUCCAUCAGUGGCAGGGGUCUAAUGUUUGUUUUUUAGAAGUACGUCAUCCUUCUUUGAAGUUCUUUUUGAUGGCGUUUUCUUAGAGAAGCGUGUUAUAGGAACAAAAAUUCUCUGGAUUUAACACAUUCAUUUUGACCCUGGGGACCGAGGGUUUCAAAUUUCUGAAUGUCUUAAGUGUCUCUUAGCCCGCUUGUUUGUUAAUUUCUCCUUAUCAAAUUGAGCUUAUUACUUGACUCUGACAAGUGUGAUGGUACAGUGAUGACUGAAGUUGUCAUCAUCAGAUGGGAUGCCCUGUCUCUAAAACGCCUUUCUAUUUGGAGAUUUUGAUGACUGUAAAAAUUGUUGAGCUGAAUGAAGAGAAGGACAUGUAAAGAUAUUCUUUGUUUCUUCAUGUGUUGCAGGAAGCUGUAAUUUGUCAAGCUUUUUAAGAAAACACUUAUGUGACAAGUGAAAUUUUAAUAGACACAGUAUAUGGGAGAAAAUACAUAAGGCCAUGCCCUUAAGCAAAUUUGCACAUGGAGCGUAGAAGCUUACAGAUCACUUUUUAGACAUCCUGCUGUGUGACAUGUUCCUUUAAUUACCCAAACAAGCUGGUAGGAAAUGGAGCAGAUGAGUCAGUUCAUGAGACCUACCAGGUCCAUGGUACCUUUACCUGCCAUACCUUUGGUUGCAGAGUGAAUGGAAAAAAAUUUAAUAUGAGCUAUUUUGUAAAAAUGACUGUUGAAACGUUAAUUUUAAAAGUGUAAUUUAUGAAGCCUUAACACACAAAACAGUGCUAUGUCUUGUUGAUGACCUCCCUGGUAUGUGAAAAAAGUGUGAAAAAUGUUUGGAAAUGAUACCCACCAAAUUUAGAAUGCUGGUUACCACUCUGAGACUGGGGAGAGCAGGGAAAUUAUUCCGUACCACUUUAUUUUUUAAAAAUUCAAGCAAAUACAGCCAUAUGUUAACUGCUAAAUCUGUGAUUUUCCUCUUUUCCUUGAUGUUUAAAGUCAUUCUGAAUGAAAAUUAAAUAUUGCAUGAUUAAAAUAUUUAUAGCAUAUGUUUAGCAUACAAAUUAUGGAAAAAUAGACUC